GAUGAACGCUGGCGGCGUGCCUAAUACAUGCAAGUCGAGCGAACGGACGAGAAGCUUGCUUCUCUGAUGUUAGCGGCGGACGGGUGAGUAACACGUGGAUAACCUACCUAUAAGACUGGGAUAACUUCGGGAAACCGGAGCUAAUACCGGAUAAUAUUUUGAACCGCAUGGUUCAAAAGUGAAAGACGGUCUUGCUGUCACUUAUAGAUGGAUCCGCGCUGCAUUAGCUAGUUGGUAAGGUAACGGCUUACCAAGGCAACGAUGCAUAGCCGACCUGAGAGGGUGAUCGGCCACACUGGAACUGAGACACGGUCCGGACUCCUACGGGAGGCAGCAGUAGGGAAUCUGCCGCAAUGGGCGAAAGCCUGACGGAGCAACGCCGCGUGAGUGAUGAAGGUCUUCGGAUCGUAAAACUCUGUUAUUAGGGAAGAACAUAUGUGUAAGUAACUGUGCACAUCUUGACGGUACCUAAUCAGAAAGCCACGGCUAACUACGUG
rnacentral:rRNA from 1 species